rnacentral:rRNA from 1 species
AACGUAGGAGACAAACGUUAUCCGGAGUUACUGGGCGUAAAGGGCGUGUAGGUGGUUUCGUAAGUCUGGCGUGAAAUUUUUCGGCUUAACCGGGAAAGGUCGUCGGAUACUGCGGAACUAGAGGACGGUAGAGGCGUGUGGAAUUCCGGGUGUAGUGGUGAAAUGCGUAGAGAUCCGGAGGAACACCAGUGGCGAAGGCGACACGCUGGGCCGUACCUGACACUGAUGCGCGACAGCAUGUGGAGCAAACAGG